rnacentral:rRNA from 1 species
CCCUUAGAUGUUCUGGGCUGCACGCGCGCUACACUGAAGCGUUCAACGAGUAUUCACCUUGCCCGGGAGGGUUGGGUAAUCUUUUGAAAACGCUUCGUGAUGGGGAUAGAUUAUUGCAACUAUUAAUCUUCAACGAGGAAUACCUAGUAGGCGCAUGUCAUCAGCGUGCGUCGAUUACGUCCCUGCCCUUUGUACACACCGCCCGUCGCUCCUACCGAUUGAAUGAUCCGGUGAGGCCCCCGGACUGUGGCAACGGCUUUGGUUCGCCAAACUGAUGCCGCGGGAAGCUGUCCAAACCUUAUCAUUUAGAGGAAGGAGAAGUCGUAACA